GACGAACGCUGGCGGCGUGCUUAACACAUGCAAGUCGAACGGAAAGGCCCUGCUUUUGUGGGGUGCUCGAGGGCGAACGGGGGAGGUAACCCUGAGGAACCCGGCCUUGACUUUGGGAUAACUUUAGGAAAACUGGGCCAAAUCCGGGAUGGAACCUCCGCCGGAUGGGGGGGGGUGGGAAGGUUUCGGCGGUUGGGGAUGGACUCGCGGCUUAUCAGCUUGUUGGUGGGGUAGUGGCUUACCAAGGCUUUGACGGGUAGCCGGCCUGAGAGGGUGACCGGCCACAUUGGGACUGAGAUACGGCCCAGACUCCUACGGGAGGCAGCAGUGGGGAAUAUUGCACAAUGGGCGGAAGCCUGAUGCAGCAACGCCGCGUGCGGGAUGACGGCCUUCGGGUUGUAAACCGCUUUCGCCUGUGACGAAGCGUGAGUGACGGUAAUGGGUAAAGAAGCACCGGCUAACUACGUG
rnacentral:rRNA from 1 species